rnacentral:rRNA from 1 species
GACGAACGCUGGCGGCGUGCCUAAUACAUGCAAGUCGAACGCAGUGGGGACGGGUGAGUAACACGUGGGUAACCUCCCAUCAGAGGGGAUAACACUUGGAAACAGGUGCUAAACCGAUACUGAUGGAUGGACCCGCGGUGCAUUAGCUAGUUGGUGAGGUAACGGCUCACCAAGGCUACGAGGCAUAGCCGAGCUGAGAGGGUGAUCGGCCACACUGGGACUGAGACACGGCCCAGACUCCUACGGGAGGCAGCAGUGGGGAAUCUUCGGCAAUGGACGAAAGUCUGACGGAGCAACGCCGCGUGAAUGAAGAAGGUUUUCGGAUUGUAAAACUCUGUUGGUAGGGAAGCGGUAUCUAAAGAGGAAGCAACGGCUAACUACGUGCCAGCAGCCGCGGUAAUAC